UGCGUUCUGAAUGGCAGGUGAGAGGGGGGAAAGAGGAUGGUAAGCACCGAGCCCUCAAGUUCCAGCUAAACACAACACACAACAUUCCCACAUGGAUGAAUAUCAUUAAUUAAGUCUAAUUACCUCUACACACAGGUCAGCUCUCUCUUUGUCAAACAUUGGAAUUCUGCUUGCUUGCAUUGGAUUGUUUUUCUGUUCAAUGGUGCAUAAUUCGAUCAUCCUGUAAUGCGUUGCGAGGUAUGUAACCAGAAUAAAAAUUUAGAAUUACCUAAAGCGGCAAAAUUACCUGCCAAAAUAUUGGCGGAACGGUGUACAUGCACUCCAAGAUCUUUGGAAUGAAUUUCCACCUUACAUGUUUGGAAAUUUGACCAAAUCGGGUGGGCGUUGCUUAUAGUUUAGGGCUACACGAUCUGCAAAGAUUGUAGAGGAUGUGCCUUAUCGUUGGGUUCUAGCCAAGUGCACGACGAUUAGAUUUCUGUGAUACCCAAUUGAAUAGUUGUUUUCCUGGAAUUUUAAAAGGGUUGCUGAGGAGCCCACAGUUAUCUAGGCUGGAAAUUGGAAUCCUCCGGGACUAAUUAAGUCUCUCAUAGAUUUUGCGUCUCCCAAAAUUGUAUUUCAGUUAUAAGGGUGGGAUUUUGAGCGGUGCGUGAGUGUGAUGGUGUUUAUAGAUAGGAGGACUCUGAGUUCGAUUUGAUGUUGUGGCUACUCUUGCAGCGGUUUUUAUGUUCAAUAGAGAUCAGAGUGGUGAGGACUUGCAGCGUUCUGAAUUUGAUUCGCGUCUGAUACCUUGUUGGAUGCACUAUGGUUUCUUGCUGUUAUUAAUGCAAGGAAGAAAGUGAAUUGAGAUGCUAUUGUCAAUUGUCGCCAAUAUGGAAUUUGUGUUGGAAAGAUUAAUAACAAUUGGGACGGGUUUGUCUACAGACAAUCUCAAUGGGUGUCUGCUAGCAAUUGUAUCCAGUGCUUUUAUAGGGGCAAGCUUCAUAAUCAAGAAAAAGGGCCUGAAACGUGCUGGGGCAUCAGGACCUCGAGCAGGUUUAGGUGGCUAUACAUAUUUGCUAGAGCCUCUGUGGUGGAUAGGAAUGAUUACUAUGAUUGUGGGAGAGUGUGCGAACUUUGUAGCUUAUGUAUUUGCCCCAGCUGUUCUUGUCACUCCUUUAGGUGCCUUGAGUAUCAUUGUCAGUGCUGUAUUGGCACACUUUAUGUUGAAAGAGACACUGCAUAAGAUGGGAAUGCUAGGCUGUCUUAUGUGCAUGGUUGGUUCUACAAUAAUUGUAAUUCAUGCACCCCAGGAGCGUUCUAUUGAUUCAGUCACAGAAAUUUGGUAUCUUGCAACUCGACCUGCAUUUUUGUGCUACACGGUAGCCGUGAUAGCUAUAGUUCUGGUUUUAACAUUACACUUUGUUCCACGAUGCGGACACACAAAUGUACUGGUGUAUACAGGCAUUUGUUCCUUAAUGGGCUCUAUUACGGUCAUGAGUAUAAAGGCCAUGGGAAUCGCCAUAAAACUCACUAUAGAGGGAACAAGCCAGCUAGCUUACCCUGCAACAUGGUUCUUUACAAUGGUGGCAAUUACAUGUGUGAUAAUGCAACUCAAUUAUUUAAACAAGGCUCUCGACACUUUCAACACUGCAGUGGUUUCUCCCAUCUAUUAUGUGAUGUUCACAACACUGACAAUUGUUGCAAGUGUUAUCAUGUUUAAGGACUGGGAUGGUCAGAGCGCAAGUGACAUAGUUUCAGAGAUUUGUGGUUUCAUCACUGUUCUUUCAGGGACAAUCAUAUUGCAUGUUACAAAAGAUUCUGACAAAACUACUUCAACAAGCAUCUAUACACCACUAACACAUUCAUCUACAUGUCACUGCCAAGGAAAUGGGGAGUUGAUUAAGGACAUGGAAGAGGACAGUUCAAGCAAAGAAGAGAUUACUUUCUUAAGACAAGAUUUAUUUUGCUAGCUGACAUCAGAUUUUUGUGAGUUUGGAUUAAAUUAAACAUGGAGGUUACCCUGGAUCAAGUUGUAUCUGUACAAUUAGUCUGCACUCCGGGCCGUAAGUGUAUUUGGUUAUAUCAAGUGACGCUGCAAACACAGCAUCUUUUCCUGCUGUUUUCAGUGGAGUAAAAAAGUUAGCCAGAUAUGCCCACAUUCAGCAAUGAGAGGUUGUUCCAGUUUUGCCCUCUCACAGUCUGCAAUCCUUGGGAGGACUGACGUAGGCCUUGUAAAUUUAUAAGUUAUCUUAGUAAUAUUCAAACCAAUUUAUUUACGAAGUUCCUUGAAUUUAUCUGAGCAAGUAUCUACAGUGUCAUCAUGUGCUUCAUGUAUCAUCAUUUGCUAUCUUCCGCAUUACAAAAUCCUUCAGUUGGAAAUGAGGGUUUCAAGCAUAAAAAUUGUGAAAAGGAAUGAUAAUUACAAGUUCCAACAGGCACAGAGUCUAUUAUUUGGACUUCUAACCUCGUCAAAAGAGAUCUCAUCUUUAGCUUUCUACAGUCAAAUAAGGGAAGUGGAAACUAUUGUAGCCGAGUGAGGUGUAUUUGUUCCUUCAGUUACUUAUUUAGUUUGUUAAAAUGUUCUGUGGUAAUUAGUUUAAGCCUUGAUAAUUAGAUAUGCCACUUUGUUGUAUUGUGGAUUACAUUGUAAAUCUAUCUUGUAACCUUAUUCCAUUCUUCCGGCAGCCAGAUGGCAUGUGACUGGUGUAUGGGAGCUGAAUUGCAAAAUCUUUUAUUUGUUUAACGCACAUAUUUGAGCCAAAAAUUGUGCUUUUGCUCUU